AGUGAACGCUGGCGGUAGGCCUAACACAUGCAAGUCGAACGGCAGCACAGUAAGAGCUUGCUCUUACGGGUGGCGAGUGGCGGACGGGUGAGGAAUACAUCGGAAUCUACUUUUUCGUGGGGGAUAACGUAGGGAAACUUACGCUAAUACCGCAUACGACCUACGGGUGAAAGCAUGGGAUCUUCGGACCUUGCGCGAUUGAAUGAGCCGAUGUCGGAUUAGCUAGUUGGCGGGGUAAAGGCCCACCAAGGCGACGAUCCGUAGCUGGUCUGAGAGGAUGAUCAGCCACACUGGAACUGAGACACGGGCCAGACUCCUACGGGAGGCAGCAGUGGGGAAUAUUGGACAAUGGGCGCAAGCCUGAUCCAGCCAUACCGCGUGGGUGAAGAAGGCCUUCGGGUUGUAAAGCCCUUUUGUUGGGAAAGAAAAGCAGCAGGUUAAUACCCCGCUGUUCUGACGGUACCCAAAGAAUAAGCACCGGCUAACUUCGUG
rnacentral:rRNA from 1 species